GUCGUUUUUGGUCCGAGCUGCGGUAUGCGUUGCGUUGGCUCCGGCGGCAGCGAUCGGGUUCCCGUGGCCCGCUCUUGUAGCGGGGGACGGUGGUUGCGGUUGGCAACUGAGUCUUCUACCGAAGAUUAUGUUGAGAGGGUAAUUGCCCUCUAUUUCGUUGGCCCUUAAGGCUCAACAAUAUGAUUAUAUCAAUGCACGUUUUACGACUCGUGUCGGAGUU
rnacentral:lncRNA from 1 species